GACGAACGCUGGCGGCGUGCUUAACACAUGCAAGUCGAACGGAAAGGCCUGCUUUCCCUUGUGGAUUGCGGGUACUCGAGUGGCGAACGGGUGAGUAACACGUGAGUGAUCUGCCCCCAACUUGGGUAUAAGCCUGGGAAACUGGGUCUAAUUCCCGAUAGGACUGCAGGGUGGUGCCUGUGGUGGAAAACGAUUUUCUAGUGGUUGGGGAUGAGCUCGCGGCCUAUCAGCUUGUUGGUGGGGUAAUGGCCUACCAAGGCGGCGACGGGUAGCCGGCCUGAGAGGGUGGACGGGCACAUUGGGACUGGGAUACGGCCCAGACGGCUACGGGAGGCAGCAGUGGGGAAUAUUGCACAAUGGGCGGGAGCCUGAUGCAGCGACGCCGCGUGGGGGAUGACGGCCUUCGGGUUGUAAACUCCUUUCGACCGCGAGGAAGCCACCUGGUUGGAAGGGUGGUGACGGUAGUGGUAGAAGAAGCACCGGCUAACUACGUG
rnacentral:rRNA from 1 species